ACAAAGCUGAUGGACCUCAAAAUUCGGGUAAUUUUCUAUUGAGCUGUUGUAUCAAAGUUUUACUUUCCGGAGCUAAUCAAUUGGGCUAUGGGGUUGUUUCUUGAUGAAAGUUUUCGAUAUUUUGACAAACCACCUCUCGUUCCGCCUGACUCGGGAAGCAAGGCAGUGGCUUUUCCUCGGAUUCACAAACUACUGCAGUUAGUGAACAGAUGGAGGGACUACAGAUAGCUCCUUCAUCAGCCUGCAGUAACUGUCAAUCAAAUCAACAGAUAGAUGAGAGAGAACCAUCAACUAGUUCUGAUAGUGAGAUGGCCUCAAGCUCUACAAAGACUGAUGACCAACAAGAGGAAGAUGGCUGGGAGGUUGUUAGGCGAUCAAAAAAGAAGCAUUAAUUCUGAAAAUAAAUUUUACAUUAUGCAUGCCA